AGAGCAGGGAGGCGCCCACAGCGAGGGCAGAGUGCACAGCGCUGCAAGGCAGGGUGGACCCACACCUCACACAAGAACCGUCCUGUUCGGCUCCCCAGUCCCUGCCCACGAGGCCCAUACCUGAUCCCGGCACAGCUCCACAUUGGGCCGAUAGCUGCGGGUCUCCAGGCGGCUGUGAGCCACCUUCAGGUCCUGCAUUUUCCUUCGCAGAUCUUCCUCCAGGCGUCGGAUGUCCUCUUCCAUCUCAGCAAUUUCCUCCAAGGUCUAAAGCAAAAAAAGACACCAACCCUGAGGGACAGCCGCAGCGCCCUGGAGGAGACAGACUGCAGAACAGCCCCCGUUCGCUGUAGGCUUUUACUGUGCUCUGAAUGCAUUUUUAAAUGGAGCUGAUGGGUUUCGAACCUCUCUGCUCGUGGCUCCGCACGCAGACCAGGCACAGUACUGCUAUGGAGCACAGGACCUCUUUUGCAUUCAAUCCCCACCCGAGGCUGCGGUUGACAAUUGAGCACCGUUUACCUUUUGCUCCUGCCAUUUCAGCUCAUCGUAGGCUCUCUCCAUGUCUCUGAUCCUUUUGCGCAAGGCAAACUCAGUGGCUACACGCUGAGCCUCCAGCUCGUUGUUUGUCUGAAGAGAGAACACAUUCCACUCACACUCAUCCGGAGGGGCUCUGCCUCCCAUCACGGCUCCCCGUGAGGUUGGGACAAGCAAAGCCAUGCAGGCUGUGCCCGCUGGAAGGUGUGCAGGUCUCACAACCGCUGCAGCCAAAAGGAACAGCAGUGAUGGGCUGCUGUGAGUCUUCCAGGCUGCUGGCUCUGCUGCACCCUCUGCGGCACAGCCCGGCUCCCCUUUUAAAACAGGAGGGCACCACUAAUUCACAACCAAGGGGCUCCUUUACCUGGGCAAUGGAAAGCAUGAUUGCUUCUCGGAGCUUAGUUGAGGCUUUCAUUUCCUCCUCAGCGCAGUCUUUGUUGUAUUGGCUAUUCUGCUCCCACUCACCAACCACAGUUGAUCUACGAACAAAGCAGUGGUUACAAAAAUAAGCGGAGUGGCUGCAAGGCAGUUCAAAGGGAACCACCUGCUGCAGGCCAAGGAGGCUUUCUGCAGUGCAGGAUGGCUCAGGAAUGUGGAGGUUGCAUCCUGUCUGAUCUCAGGGCACCAGCUGGGGAUUGCUGCCCCACGGCUCCCGCACCGAGCCCAACAUCUGCUCAAACUGGGGACUCAUCCAAAGCACGCUAUGAAAGGCCACGCGAGUGGAAGAUGAGCAGCAGCUCUGCCAUAAAGCCGUGCCAGAGGCUGAUGCUGCUCUGCUUACCGUCACCUAUAGCCAAGUGCAGGGAGGCAGGGCAGCCAGCUUCUGCUUUUGCAGUGACAAUUCUGAUAACCUGUUCACUGUCUGUGCUCCAACUUUCUGCACUGCAGAGAUGCUAUUUAUUUGAUGGUGGUGGUGUUACGAGCUCAGAAUGCCCUGACAUGCCCUGAGAGAUCUGAUAGCAGAGCACACCGCUAUGGGCACGCAUUAAGAAAGGUCUCCUAUCCAACGAGUCUGUGGCUUCACAGCCCAGGACUCACAGCACAUCCCGGCUCCUGCACGGAGCUCUCAAUAACUGCACUCAUCAGCCAGGAUGCAGCAUGGGAAGGAAAAGCAUCCUGGGGCUCUCAAAAGCACUCGCACAGGCGUGGACAGAAGCACAGGCGUGGACAGAAGCACAGGCGUGGACAGAAGCACAGGCGUGGACAGAAGCACAGGCUCUUUACUUACCCGUUUGGGAUCCGCGUUGGGUUGACCUUGAAGGAGAUGUUGGGAGAGUUCACGCUGAGGGACAAACACGUGCGGUCUAUUUCCAGUGCUUCCAUCUUGCCACGGUGGUCGAAGCUGAGCUGCUGGCGAGCUUCCUGCAGGAGGCUGCAGAACGCAAGGCCGGGGUCACGGGGAGCACACGGAGGAGUGCGGCUCCCCGAUUCCAAAGCCUUUUAAUCGCGUCCUCCAUCGCCUCCACGAAGGGAGCACAGUGCUGUUUGCCUCACCAGAGCUGCUCGAAGGCUUCGUGCACUCUCUGCUGCAGCUCCCUCUUGGCUUUGUCGAUCACCUUCACCUCCCUGUGCAGCUCCUCCUCCACGGGGUCCCUCACCACGUCGAUGGAGCGGCGGCCGUCGCGGAGGGUCAGGCACUCCAUGGCCACAUCCAAGGACAAAUUCUUGGCCUGGAGGGCGCGCUCUGCAGCCUCCUUCACCUGCAGGGAGCAGCUGGCUGUGGGGCAGUUCUCCUCGGGGGUGGGAGAAGAGGAGGAAAGGAGGGGAAACCCACCCACGCUCUCAUUAAGGGGACCUUCUGCCACCUGCAGUGCAGCGCUGAAACUCUUAGCAAAUCUGGAAGGAAAUCUGUGGGAGCCAAACACAGCUGUGCUCCACGGGUAGUGGGUCAGGGCUCACACUCACACCCUGCUGGAGGCCCAGGGCUCCAAACAGAGCAGCCCACGGGUUUAGAACUGGGAGAAUCAGAGCUCGACCCCACCGACACCCUCAAUUUCAAAUCAAACGUUUUCAAACGGUGGUUUUAAUGUAUUUCUCAUUACCCUUCAGAGCUUUGGGAGAUAAAAGCAAAGCCAGAACACGAGCAGGCGAUGCACAGCUCAGCUGGGAACAUCCAGGAUGUCAUUUCACCAGGUACCCAUCCCGGAAUACCUGUGACACCGUAUGGGUUUACCCACUGCACGAGGCGAGCCUCAAUUAUUUAACAUCCCACGCUGAAAGCACGGUUUAUUUGCAGCCAUCUGCCUUCCCAACAUACUUUGGCCAAAGCAUCGAUUUCCUCAUCUACGUCUGCGAGGCAUUUGUCCAGGGUCUCCUUCCAUCUGUUCACGCUGCUGAUGCGUUCAGCCAGGCGGGUUUGGUUGUCGUGCUCGUCCCAUUUCGCCUGGAAUUGGGGGGAAAUCGCCACGAGCUGUUUGUUGUUGUCACUUUUUGGGGACUCGGGUUGUGAAACAGCCGCGGUUUUCAGGACGGACGGACCUCUCGCUGUGCCAUAACGCAUCGUUUGCUCUCACAGUGAUCUGGAAGAGCAGAGAGGGCAGAAAGCAACGCAAAGGGCACGAGAGGCACACCCUCAGUAAAGGGAUUUAGGAGGACCUCCGGACAUUCUCAGCAGGCGAAGCCCUCUCCCCUCCCCGUACGCACAGACCCGGCUGCUCUCCCACCCUCUGAGCGCCGUUCGGGCCAACCCGGGGCUCCCACCUGGUUGUUGGUUUCGCUGCGCAGGGCGCGCGCUUCCUGCCGGAGCUGAUGGGACGCGGAGCGUUGGCUCUCAGCGUCGGCGGAGAUGAGGCGGGCGUUGGUGUCCCAGUCGGGCACGGUGAACCUCUGGCCCGGUUUGACGCUCAGCGCUGCCAUCUCGCUGAAGGGGGGGCGGCUGGAAGGGAGAGGAACGCUUUUGCGUCCGUUCGGGAAGGUUUAUCGCGCAAGAAGGGGUUUCUGCGUCCCCGAAAGCUGCUCUGAUGGGGCAGCUCGGCCGACACAGCCGCGUCCAGCCGGGGGGUGCGCGGGGGGCGCUGCCCCGGCCCGGGGAGCGCCGCGCUCUGUACGGAGCCGGGCGGCCGUCGGCACUGCGGCCGAUGGCGCCCGCGGCUCCGCUUCGGUUUCGGGGCUGCGGUCCCAGCGGGGCUGUGCCGUUCUCGGGGGGCACCGAAACCACGGGAGGGGCUCAGAGCAGCCGAGGGGACCGCAGAGCCGGGGGGGGUGGGGGGGGGGACAGGACACCCUGCGUGCCCCCAGCACCGAGGGGCGCCGGGGUUGGAGCUCCCCCAGCACCGCUGGGGACAGACGGGACGGCGUAGCGCCCCGGGCCGGAGCUGAGCGCCGGGGAAGGGACGCGGCCCCGCAGCCCCCGCUCCCCCUCACCGCACUCCGGGCCGCUCCGCUCCGUUACCGCACGCGCUGUCCCGUUGCUAAGCGGCCCCGCAGCCGCUCCUCCCCCCUCCCCCCCCCCCCCGGGACGGGCAUCGCGCCGUGAACAGAGCGAGGGGGGCUGCAGCAAAGCUUUCGUCUUUUUUUAUUGCAGUUCGUAGUGAGAAUUACAGUUCAACCUGAAGCAAAGCGACGUGAAAAAGGAAAACAACACAGGAAAUUUCUCAUCGUUUGUUAAUGCUUACAAGGGGUGAAACCGAAGCGAGAGCAGCAGAGGAAGGUUUGGUGCAGAGCGGUGCACCCGGCGUUGGAGCUCUGCACGGACACUGCAAACCGGAUUGAGGACCUUUACAUGGCGUGAGAGCAAACGGAGGCAGACGGAUGCAGCCCCCACCCCUCCCCUCCUGCAGCCGGGGGGUGACGCAGCUCCAGAGGUAUAAAAAUAAUAAAAGAGCGCAUAUGCGUUUCAAAACAAAUUUAUUCUUUCUUUUCAGAUGAAUACAGCUGGUUUACAAUACAGCCAACUCGAUGGUAUUAAAGCCAGCAGAGAUCCGAGCACUGCUGUGUGCACCGUAUGGGUGCCUACGGGAGGAAGGGGCGGUGAAGGCGGACGUGGGAGUGGGCUGGAAAGAAAGCAACUCCUGCAACAGGUAGAAAAAUUUGGCAAGAACAAUUUGUGUGGGAGGGGAGAAGGGGCAGAAAGCACUGCAUCCACCUCCAGCACUGACCUAUGGUUCCCCCCCCCACCCUGCAUGUACAAAUAGGCACACAUGGUCGAGAUGGGUAAGUAAAAAGAAAGGCUUUUAGCAACCAGCUUGUUUGCCAUCUGCCUACAGCUGUGUAGUGUCUCGAGUCACAGCUCUGCUUUAUUCCUGAAAUAACUCCCUUUUGCUCUGAGAACCCCGGGACCCUCACGGUGGGAACAGCCCAGCUCUGCUCAUGCAGUGGGAGCACUGAAGGCUGCCAGGGCAGGAGAAAGAGUGAGACGUACACAGAGGGAAUCUCAAUGCACUGGAUUCGUUUAUUAGAACUUUAUUUUGAGAAGGAAUCCCAAACAGCACAAUAGUUUUGUUUUUCAUUUGAACAGGUGGUAUUCAAUAUGCAAAGGGUGUAUUUGCACAACGCUGCUCCCAGCAGUCUCCUACACCGACACAGCAAUGCUUAUGGCACACACUGCCACCUGAGCCACCGCCUCCCAGAGAUGUUCCAAUACCCAAACUGCCUCAUCACCAAUUGCCACCAAUUACAAUGAAAGCUUUAAGUGACACCUCUCCAUGACAACACUCUUAUCUAUGAUCAGAUGCCUCGGUGCAUUCUAACAGAUGAGUUCUCCCCCACAAAACAAAUUACAGGGCCAUUUCUCCACCCAUUUCACACACCCGGGGAAGCCAAACUGCUCACAGCAAGGGAGGAAACCAACCAGCACGGACAGGAGAGCUGCAUGGUGAGGCCCCACUGUGCCUCUGCUCACAGCUGUGAGAUCACUGAGCACCCAUUCUGUCAAUGCUAUUGCUGUGCUGAGGCUUUGCAGGAUUGCCCGUGGAACAGACAAGAAAAUGCAGCGUCUAAAAGCAGGUUUACCUACAGGAAAACAACGUGGAGUUUCCUCGAGGUGAGAUUCAACGGAUCGAACACUGACAAGUGCAGAAAAGGCAGCGCUCUGCUGAGGAGCAGAAAGCAAAUCCAAAGGAACCUGAAAGCUACAGCCCCAGGAGGCUGCAAUGAACACAACCAAAGCCCCGAGGAAGGCAGCUGUGUGCAAACUGCCAGCAGCCAAACCUCACCUCAGCCUCACACAGCAGCUCUGCUCAGCACUCCGUUCUCCUCUGCACUGCACAAACACUGCUUUGCUGGCACGCUCCAAACACCAAAGGCUCCUUAGCUGUAGCACUGCUCCAGUGGGUAUUGCUUGGCCAACUGAGCGGAGCAAGCACUGACCUGUGAGAUGUCCAAAUAAACUGUUCUUGAAUGCACUGAAGAGAUUUGCAAGCAUUAGCACUAUGAAAGAUGAUUAGUAACUAUUUUAAUGUCUAACUGUUGCACAGCUGUAUCAAGGCUGGUUGUGGACCCACGAUUCAGGUAAGAUAAUCUCAAGAUAACCCCAUUUCUCUGUGUUGUUGGAGAGCAUCGCGGUAGGUAUUCGUUUUUCAACUGCUAAAUGUGUUUGAAAGACCUCUGAGAUCCUCAGCAACGUAAAGAAAACCUUUUAUUUGAAUCAACUCAUCCUCUAUUUUGCAACAAAAGAUGACAGAAAGCAGCAGUGCACACUGACUGACCCCAAGGAGCUCCUUGGGACGGCUGUGCUGAGACAAAGCAAAGGGCACAGGCUCUGCUGGAUGGACAGACUGCAAAGAGCGCUGUGUUAAGUGAAGGUAACUGGCAAGAAGGCGCACAGGUUUCUAUCAGGAAUGCAGCACUUUGCAGCACGGCUGAUCCUCAGCACACACAGCAGCCGGCUCUCGUAAGGCAAUGCACGUCAUCCUGCAUGCGUUGCAGACAGGGCAGAAAGCUGAGGCAAAAAAUCAAUUCCCUGAAGUCAUGGAGGGAACCCAUCUCAGAGCCGGAGCUGCUGGCUGGAUGACCCUCCGGUACCCCAACACUGCACAAAACAACUUGAAAAGCUCUUCUGUUAUUCUCUGACAACCCACACUCACAGCUUGGAGCCUGAACCAGCACCUAAGGCACCCAGCACUGCAUACCUGGCUGUGAAAGGAGAGGCUCAUUUCUCCCCUUAGCACUUUGCUGAGCCCUCCCAUCGCAGACACCACAGCGCUGUGCACACAUCACCACCCCCAGCUGCUGGCGAGCUGCUCCUUAAAGAGUUACCUUCAGUGAUGUUCAGUGCUCAGUACCACAUUCCCACUUCCCAACCUCCGCCAACAACAUUCCUCACGGCCUUACAGUCAGCAGGGAAGCUGCAGGAGCACAGCAGAGACACCACGGGACAGGCAGCAUUCAAAUAAAGGCAGCAUGAAUGGCUCUCUAUGGAGAAACACAUCAGAGUUAAAUUUCAUUUGAAAAAAAAAAUGCAAGCCUACCAGGAAGUGUUUGGUGACACUGAAGUGUGUUUGUUUGGUGACAUUGCUCUCCAGAAAGCAUUUACUUUAAAGCUUCUCCUCUCUGGGUAGUUACAGCCACCAAUUCAGGGCUCCCUUUAAGUAACUCAACACAAAACCAACUCCAUUCUGACCAAGGACUUCAAGCCUUAAAAGCAGUUCAAGAACACUGAGCCCACUAUCAACCAGUGCAAACUGCCAGCUCCUCCAGCUUCUGUCUCGGAUCAGAGAAAGGCACAUGCUUGCUCUCAACGAGUUCAAGUCUGACCCAAGCAGCCCAGGACACCGAAGCUAACAUGGGAGCUCCCUCAGUGGCUUCUGUACCAACCACCCAAAGACCACAGCCAGAAAUCCAUUGGAGCAUCUGUGUUCUGCAAAGGGGUCACACACUGCUCACAGAACCCCACGGCUCUGUUGUUUGGAGCACCACCGACCCACUGAAUCUGUGUGUUUUGAACCAGGAAGGGAGGCUUUGGGAUUCAGAGAACACAGCUGAUGGGACUGAACGGCUGUCACAGGCACUGCCACUGCUGCCCAGCACGGCCGUGGAGGUGAACAGGCACUCUUGCUUAAAGAAAUACAGGAAAACAGCUUUCCCCUCAUCUCUGAGUUUCUGCAGCAGUUACUUAUGGGGGGGUUGAGUAAACUGCGGGUGCAGAGGGGCAGGUUCAGGUUCAGAUGGCUCCAGCAGCAUUAGGCUUUCAGUACAGUCAGCUCUCCUGGAGGAAGAGGCGGCUCCUCCCUGCCCUCCCAGCUUUCUACUGCUGGUCUGACAGCACAGGCACCAUCUCUCCUCCUCAUAAAACAUACAGCUGAGUCAGUCCAGCUUUGGAUUUACCCCAGCACAGCACGAUUUACUACGAAUAGCAUUGAUGAUAGAAACUUUGCCAGGGAGAAUGAUGGCGUUCUCCUUUUUAAACCAAUUUGCCUCUUCAGUAUCUACACCUUCAGCAACUGGCUUUACUUCAGCUGGAUGCUUCAACACAUCACACACCCUGCAACGAACACAGCAGAGACACGCAGACACUGCUACUGCAGCUAUAACCCCCACGUGCUGCAGCUCAUCUCAGCUGGGAUCCACUCCCAAUAGGAACCACCACCCUCAGACACAGCUCUGUCCAUUGCUUUUGAUCACGUUUGUAAUGUAUAGAAAGAGGAGAUAGGAAUGUACACAUCUCAACAGCUUCAGUACCGGCUAAGCACAGAUAGAAAACAAGCUGGUUCAGAGGCAGGGGAAGAGAUGGAGAGUAUUGCUGCAGACAAGCUGAUGGAAUGAGAUUUUUGGCCCUUUUUAGACUAAAAAGGUAGAAAUGGCUGCUGCAGAAAGCAGCUGACAGAGCCCGGGCUGACAAAAUGCUUUCUAAAUCCCAGCCUAACAGCGGUAAGAAAUUGGGAACAAAUCACUGCAAGCUGAAACACUACGGAAGCAGCACUGAAUGCUGUUCUAAAACAAAGCUGUUAAACAAAGAGGAACAUCACUGCCUUUAACUUCAGCCACGAGAAGUGACGUCCAGGUUGGGCAGUGCACACACAGCAGUUCUGCCACGGAUGUGGAGCGCAGCGGUGUCACAGCCCCAGCACAGCACUGCUGAGCACCGCACGGCUGCUGUUCUGCUCCAUAGAUGUGAAGAAGCUCUGCUCAGUCCUCGGAAACGCCUGGACACGACUGCAUGCCUGCAGCAGUACUGCUCCCAGUGAAAGCAGAAUUUGAUGCUUCAGCUGAUACUGAAAGCCAUCCUGACAUCUGCAACGCCCAACUACUGCAUCAACAGUGACUGAGGUGGACACAAACUCCUUUUAACCUCCAACUCAGAAACCAAAGCACCCAUUACAUCAGCCUGCCUGGUGCGUUGUUCUGUUUGGUCUCUUCUCAAACGUGCCUUAAGAGUUGAGCUGAAUUCAGAGAAGGAAAAAAAACCAUUCAGAAACGUUUCCCACCUAAAAAUAAGAGUCAAAAGCAACACGCAGAUGGGACACAAUAUAAAGACCACCAAUAUAAAGGAACACCCCGAAAAAGGUUGGGGUUCACCAAAGAGCAGCCAGGCAACUGCAAGUGAGACCGUUACAAAAAGGAAAGUGGGUAUUCCUUGCAGGCAGUGCAAGCACACUACAGUGUCACCGAAGCAGAACUUUGCUAUUAUUACCUAAUGCAGCAUUACAAGGUUACUGAGGUGCAGUGGUUAAUAGCUGACAGCUUCUCCCCACGGGAGGAAUGCUCACAUGGACCCACAGCACCACUCUCCCAAGUAGGAAUGACAAGUCCCAGGCACAAACACACAGCACGCCUUGAGGAACGCAGCCCACACGACGCCUGCUUGCAGCACUGACCAUCCCUACGUCUCCAGACAGCGCUCAGCUCGUCUGCUUUGUCCUUGGGGGUUUGUAAUGCCUAUGAGACAACACCUUCCAGCCAUGACCAUCUCAAGCAUCCCACGCUGCUGCCUUCCCCUCGGUGUGAAGGGGCAAACUGCACACAGAAGGAUCCGAGCUGCUCCUCCUCAGCAGCAUUUGGCGAUCGCUCCCCCCAAAGGAAACCACCCUCCCGGUUAUGCUUGGUCCUGACUCAGAGAACUGAUGCCUGAACGUACCUAAAGGUACCAUCAAACACUUGGCAUUUUCAGUUAUGGAUCUUAAAUGUUCAGCCACGUACAACUGGAAAAUAAAAUCUACAGCACCGUCUGCUAAAAAGGCACUUUCUGAGGACUGUCUUGCUUAAAAAUAAAUAUUCACUCCAAAUUUUAAACAGAACCACUUCGUUGUCGAAAGACCCCACGGUAACUACCUGUGUUAGGUGAGGGGGGCCUCAGGCAGAGCUGGGAAAGGCCAGGGCAGGCAGGACACAUUCCUGUAGUACUGAUGCUCCCACGUUGCCCCCUGCAGCCCCUGCCCCUCUGCACACCUCCGCCUACUGAGGGCCAAACCUUCUUGUUUGAGUGCUAUGGACAUGAGGCUUCUCGAGGCUCUGCCCAGGAGGUGAAGCGUAGGACCCCAUACACAUCCAUUUGUAACUCAGCUACUGAGAAAUACAGAACCCUUUGCUAGCAGAAAGCAGCAAUUAGCUCAAGCUCUAACCACUACAGUUCCAGGGUCACAACAAUGAGUCAAUUAGCAAUUUACUUAAACCACGAGCCAAAACAAAAUGAGUGCCCUACCACUCAAUGUCAAUGUAAAGUACCAUCUUUGGGUAGGAAAAGGAGAGACUGGGAUCCUUCCCUUUCACAUCCCUAUGGAUUUUUCCACCAGAUCCAAUCAACCCAUCUGCAGCAGCUGCAGAACUCCACAGCACUGAAGGGACACAGAGGGCCGUUUGGACGGCAGCUCUGAGAAUGGAAUGGAUAACUGCAAGGAACAGCAGCAGAGCUUUGGGUUCCUGGGCUAUAAAAGUGCUCUGAGGAAGGUCCUAAACCCUCAACUCACAAAACUGGGAGAAUGUUAGAAGAGAACGAGAUCUGAAGGGAACACUGAGAAAGAAAAAGGCCUCAAGCUGUUUGAAGGGCAGGCUGAGCUCGGAGUUUUGCCAGAGCAAACUUCCAGACUAGCAGAAAGCUGGUAUUUGUAGCUGGAAGUUGUACAGAAGGGUAUCUGGUGUCUUACACCGAGCACUCCAAAGGACAGAGGUUGGUACACAAAGUGAAACUGGUUUGGGACCGACGGCAUCUAGAAAUAAUUUGACCGACAGCUUUCAGAAACCCAUCUUACUCCAGAAAAACCAUUUCUACAGCCAAACUUCCAGAAGGAUGCCAGAAAGAACCCCUACAGAGAUAACUUCUUUUGGACACGUUCAACCAAAUCACACCUUUAACAGCGACACAGCAAUCCUGAGUCAAACGGCCACAGCUGAAGCGCCCCCCAGGAGAAGCCCCCUGCAUGGGCUCAGUUGCUCUGCCAGCAGGUGCUGCGUGUUAACGCAAUGCUCUGUGCAAUGCUCUGUGCAAUGCUCUGUGCAAUGCUCUGUGCAAUGCUCUGCUCCCUCUCAGCUUCAGAGCGCCCGGUGCUCGGUGCAGGGCUCAGCACAGCCCAGCUUUGGCACAGUACCAGCACUGCAGCUCCCGCCAGGAAGUGGCACUUAAAGUACAAACGAGGUCUUGGUGAACUGGUACAGUGUCUGCAGGGUGGGAGCCACGCACCCAGAUGGGCAGUGCACGAGGCCAGCACGUCUGCAAAGGGAGGAGAAGCACAGCUCCCGGCCACAGACAGCUCCCACAGAGGAGGGGACCUGCAGAGCCACUCGAGAUUUCCCCCACACAGCACAUAAAAUUUGAGAUUAUUAUUAUUAAUUAUUAUUAUUUUUUGUCUUUUUUAAAAGGAGAGCAGGUACAAAAAUAAAAGAAAUCCAUAUACUCUGAAAAUAUACCGGAAACUGCCACCACAGAUGAGGUACCAUUUAUCCCGACCCCCCACCCCCAAACUGCAAACA